rnacentral:lncRNA from 1 species
GCACAGGGCGGCUGAGUGACAAAGCCACGGCUGCCUCCACCCGAAGUGGGAGUGGGAGUGAGAGUCCCUCUUACCAGCCCUCAACUAGGGAGAGCGUAAAAGUUUGUCUCUGCUCAAGCGUUCCGAGCGCCCCAAGGUAAAGGUGGAAGUAAAUGGCCAAGCUGUAUUGAAAGAGGUGGCUAUGGAAUGGUGUAGCAGAUUGCUGCAGAUGGUUUCAAUAGUUCUGCUGAAUGCUCCUCGUUUGUGCCUGCAAGAGGAACUCAAGGCUUUAUGUAUGGCCAUUGCUGUGACCUAGUGUGAUGCUCUACUUUUCCACUGAACUCUGCUUGCUCUAACUGAGGACCUUAGCUAUAAUUUAGCCUUUUCUUUUUAUAUUAAGCUGUUGUUGAGGAAGGAGCUUUGGCAAUAGAAGUAACCAAGCAG